AAGAGAAAGUGAUGGAACAGGAGAAAUAAGUAUAGUCAGCAGACCUCAAGCCUGUGACCUUGGAGAGACAGCAAGGAAGUUACCUCUCCACAUGCUACUCCAAACUCUCUGGUCCAAUUUUUCUCCAGCUCCAGGCAAAGCUCCAUUGGAAACGGGAUAUGACUUUCCAGUUGAUACCAUGAAGAAAUAUCAGUUCACUGGUCACAAUCCAGUGGUUUGAGCGAGCUGUCUUUUGAGGAGUAGGAGAUUCGGGCAGAAGAUGGGAGAAGAUGGAAGUCACUUCAAGCCCAGUUUAAUGUGUCCAAAGAGGUUACAGACAAACCAGGUUGGGACGUCGGGGGACAGAAGCAAGGAUCUGAGACAGCCCUGACAAUUCUUCCUUUCAAGUUGUUCUCGGAUUUGUGAGCCAGGAAAACGAAGGCAGCCCCAGUGCUUGAGACCUCUUGAAUUUCCAUGUGCUUCCACCCUUCAGGACACCUCUCCCAGGUUGCUCUCUGUAAGAAAAAUGAGAGUGGCUCACAGCCUGAGCUGGCCCACGAUUCAUGUGCAGGGAAGGGCGGAGAAAAGGAGGAAAUAGAAGAAGAGAAGCAGAAGGUGGAAAGCAGGUGGGUGAGGCUUCUUCAAAAAGAAGAGAGGAAGGCGAGGAAGGCUGCCACAAUCAAGAGGAAAACAACACAGAUUUGCCGAAAGUGUUCCUCGCAGAGCUGCUAAUCUUGUCCGCACUGGACCAGGAGCGAUAUCCUGAGUCCCUCUGCAUCUCUAGCAUGAACCACGGACACCGGGGUGCAUUGGCCCUCAAGAAAGGUUUGUUGAGCCACAGGUAAAGGAAAUCAUCAGCUUCCUUAGGGGUGGUGAUCUGAAGAGUGGGAGCAAGGAAGGAACGACAGGGCUGAAGUGAAGACAGAGGACCCGGCUCUCGCUGUGAUCCCUGUUUUUCCUGGACGUGAACGGCAAGGUGUUUGGGUGUUAGUUUCUUGCCCCCUGUGCUCCCCGUAAGCUGGCCCCCCGUGUGACUGCAGGGAACACCUUGGCAAAGAGGCGUCUUCAAAGUGUCUCAGCAUGUUGGAGAGCGGACAUUGCUGCCAGUCACGGAGGACAUGUGUCUCCAGAGCCACCGAGUUCCAACCAGUAGCCUUGCCGAGUUCUGGCACUGUGCGUGUGAAUUGUGCCCUACUCCAAAGUGUACCCAGAUUGGGGGUGGGGGACAGUCACCCCCUCCUUUGAAACUGCUGUUCCUCUCCAUUUGCUGCCGCAGAUGCCAACACAAUUCUUGUUGCAUUAACUUGGCUGGGAGAGUGAGGAAAUGGCAGCAGCAUUAAUUAAAAAUAAUAUGCCACCCAGGAGAUAGCUUGAGCUCACUCCUUUUCUUAGUAUUCCUCUCGAUUCUUUUCCUUCCAGCUUGCGGCUGACGCGCUAUAGGUGCCAGGGAGGGGAAACCGUGAUGUUCAGGAGAAGUAUGACAGAAGAGUGAGAGAUUUUAGAGAGAGGGGCUCCAAAUGUGAUGAAAAUCUUCAAUCUUAGAGGUAUCUGUAAGGCAGAGUUUUGAAGGCACUAAAAAGAAUAGUAAAAAAAUCAGGGGGAAAGAACUGGAUUCCUGAAGUUAGGGGGACAAGGGAAGGAUUGGCAGAAAGUGGUAU